rnacentral:lncRNA from 1 species
UCUGUCCCAGGGUCUUCUUUCGGUGUUUUCGUCUCACAAUCUCAGCACAGGAGGUACAUCUUUACUUGCAGAGGCUUUAAUGCCCUGACUAGAAUCUCCAGUGCAGACUUGAACAGUAGUAAUAGCAGACAUGAGAAAAUGAACAACUUUCAGCUUUUCAAUAGUAUGUCUGCAUCAGUGAGAUGCAAACAGAGAGGACUCCUAGUGAAAUAAAUUCUAUGAAUGAAAUCUAUAUGGAAAAGCCUUCAAAAGGAGUGCUAAUGUUAUUCUGCAGGAGACAGAAAUCAUAGACAAGAGACAAACCAUGAGUGUAAAGACUCUACAAAAGCCUUCGGUAACCGUUAUUCCCUUCAGAGACAUGGGAGAAUUCAAAAUGAAAAGAAACCCUUUGAACAAUUUUAGAGCAGGACAGUAUUUGAUCUACAGUCACCUCCAAAACUUACAUGAGAUCUCACACCAAAGACAAACUUUAUGACUGUAAUCAGUGUGUAAAUUUCUUCAAAAACAGCUCUUGCUUUAUAGUGCACAAGAGAAUAUACACUGGGCAAAAACUCAACACAAAGACUGUGGGAACCUUUAGUAGGAGCGCUGAUUUUACUGUGCACUGGAGCAGAUAUCCAUGUUGGAGAAAACUCGACAACAGCACUGACUGGGAAAAAGCAGAAACUUUCACCUUACAAUGGCUAUACACACAUGAGAGAAACACAACGAAUGCGGUGAAUUCAGGAAAGUCUUGAGCAGGAACUUUAAUAUUACUGAACAUGUUUAGACACAUUCUGGGAAGAAAGGCUAUAAAUGCAAUGACUGGGAAGGUUUUCAGAAGUUAUUCAACCUAUGCCUAUGGAAAAAGGUGAGGACAUAUAAAGGAGAGAAAUCAUAUAUGUAAUGAAUAUGUUAGAAAAGCUUCAACAGUCCUUCUUGCCUUUAAAGAUAUGAAAAGUCACACUGGAAAGAAACCUUAUGACUAUAUACCACAUAGGAAGGCCUUUAGCCAAAAAUUUUCUCUUGUUCUACACAAGAGAAUUAAUACAAGGAA